GGGGCUGUAGCUCAGUGGCAGAGCACUUGACUAGCAUGCAUGAGGCACUGAGUUCGAUCCUCAGCACCACA
rnacentral:tRNA from 1 species